CCUACGGGGGGCAGCAGUAGGGAAUAUUGGUUAAUGUGCGAAAGCGCGAACCAGCAACGCCGCGUGUGCGAUGACGGCCUUCGGGUUGUAAAGCACUUUUGCGAGGGAUGAGAAAGGACAGUACCUUUCGAAUAAGUCUCGGCUAACUACGUGCCAGCAGCCGCGGUAACACGUAGGAGACAAGCGUUAUCCGGAUUUACUGGGUGUAAAGCGCGUGCAGGCGGUUUGGUAAGUUGGAUGUGAAAGCUCCUGGCUUAACUGGGAGAGGUCGUUCAAUACUACCAGACUCGAGGAUGGAAGAGGAAAGUGGAAUUCCGGGUGUAGUGGUGAAAUGCGUAGAUAUCCGGAGGAACACCAGUGGCGAAAGCGGCUUUCUGGCCCAUUUCUGACGCUCAGACGCGAAAGCUAGGGUAGCAAACGGGAUUAGAUACCCGGGUAGUC
rnacentral:rRNA from 1 species